rnacentral:lncRNA from 1 species
AGGUGGGGACUGUCCCAAUAAUUAGCUCAAUGUUACAUUGAUGGCUAAUGUAGCAUUUGUAUAAACAGACCCAGCCUCAAGGAGACAAGAAGCUGUGUUACAAUUUAUUUUUUUUUUUUCAGGUUGUUGCAGCUGGGGUGCAAGGUCCAUACUUAGUUUCACAACAGGAUAUGGGUAUGGGAAAGUAGCUAGAUGUAUUUGAAGGAGGAACCACAAAUACAAGAAACUUGCAGCCAUCUUGAAACAUACUCGGAGAGAACUCAGAUAUUUGGCAACUGUCGCAGUGCUUCGUUGUUGUGUGUACUUCAACAUGUUCCAUUAGCAGCACAGCCAUAAUCGAGAAAAGUAAUACUGAUCAAAAGGUAAUGUGGUAUUUUGUGGUAUGACAAAAUAACAACAGAUACAUUGUAUGCAACUCAAUACAUGCUGGCAUAGAUUGUGACUAUCAUUUUAUAGAGGAGGGGCGAAUCACAUUGCAAGUAAAGAAUAGGACACAAUCUGAAUGCAUGUCAAACAAAUCUAAUUAAACUGUGUAAUUACAGUCCUAGUUAAAGAGCAACAGUAUGAAAAUGUAGUGGUGAGGAUUUCCCAUAAGAUGAUAUUAUACACAUAACCAUUUGGAAAAGGUCCAGUCAACUGUUGUCUAGCCACGGUAAUACAGCAGGAACCUGAUAAUAGAAAGGGUAUAGAAAUUAGGUUAUAAGAAGAUACAAAGAACAUGUAAUUGAGGAAAGGGUAGUCAAUGGCAGGUGACUGAACUGCUGAGACCUCUCAGCUACAACUCUUUGUAAACUGGUUAAUUCACAGCCUGAUGGGAUAAUGGCUAUGCAGCUUCCUGAGAGGCAGCUUGGUUAAUCUCUGUAUGGGCAGCUGAGGGCUGGCACUAACCACGUUACUUCCUCAUUUUUUUUUCCCUCUUUGCUUUCCCUCUGUGGCUCUUCUUCAGUUGUGUUUCAUGAUUUGCAUCAAAAAGAGAGGGCUGUUGAGAUUACAGAUCUAAUCUGCAGGUAUUGUAUACAAAUAUAUUCGCUUUCUGUACACUCUUGUCAAUUUCUCAGAGGCCAUCUAAGGAGACUGCAGAAAAAAAAAAAAAAAAAAAAAAAGCAAAUAGGCAAAUAGAUCACUGUUUGUCAAUAUCCUUAGUGUACAAAAUAAUUUUAAUCUGGUAAUGCCAGGUAAAUCUGGCAAACUACUCUGAAGGUGCUCAAAGUUUCCUUAGCUUUU